CACUUUCUUACUCACCAGGAUAGAAAUCGUUCUACAUUCAUCUUGCACUUUCCCUGCCCCAGCCUUGCAAUCAGAAGACCACACGU